rnacentral:rRNA from 1 species
UGCAGUCGACGGGACCUUCGGGUCUAGUGGCGGACGGGUGAGUAACGCGUGGGAACGUGCCCUUUGGUUCGGAAUAGCCCUGGGAAACUGGGAGUAAUACCGGAUGUGGUCGAGAGACGAAAGAUUUAUCGCCAAAGGAUCGGCCCGCGUUGGAUUAGGUAGUUGGUGGGGUAAUGGCCUACCAAGCCGACGAUCCAUAGCUGGUUUGAGAGGAUGAUCAGCCACACUGGGACUGAGACACGGCCCAGACUCCUACGGGAGGCAGCAGUGGGGAAUCUUAGACAAUGGGGGAAACCCUGAUCUAGCCAUGCCGCGUGAGCGAUGAAGGCCUUAGGGUUGUAAAGCUCUUUCAGUGGGGAAGAUAAUGACGGUACCCACAGAAGAAGCCCCGGCUAACUCCGUGCCAGCAGCCGCGGUAAUACGGAGGGGGCUAGCGUUGUUCGGAAUUACUGGGCGUAAAGCGCACGUAGGCGGACUGGAAAGUCAGAGGUGAAAUCCCAGGGCUCAACCUUGGAACUGCCUUUGAAACUCCCGGUCUUGAGGUCGAGAGAGGUGAGUGGAAUUCCGAGUGUAGAGGUGAAAUUCGUAGAUAUUCGGAGGAACACCAGUGGCGAAGGCGGCUCACUGGCUCGAUACUGACGCUGAGAAGC